rnacentral:lncRNA from 12 species
GGUAGAACAGGCCUCUGCCAGAAACUGACAGCUGUUGAAAUAUCUUGAUUAUCCAGGGACUGGAGAUGAAAUACAGGUUUGUAUGGCUGAGGAUGGAUUAAAGGAGUCCUUGGUGCAGUACUCACACUCCUAGAAGGAGAAGCGGAGGAAGGACAGGAGUGGGUGGGAGCUGUGACACUGCCUGGGGCAGGGAGCCAUGGACACAGAGCAGGGUGGGGGCCGGGCAGGACUUGUCUGCUGGAUUCAGCGGGUGGAGCAAGGGCAGCACAGGCACUAGAAGCGCAGGCAAUUUGAGAAGUGGUUUGGGGAAUAUUCUCCACCCCCAGGGAUGGGUCACAGCCUGGCACGGCUCUGCCCUACGGGUGUCCCCUAGGGGAACCCACGGACACGGACAGGGAUGGCUGUGCUGGCCGCAGCGAGGGCUGGAAGGGAUCUACGGGGAGAGCGGUGUACUGUCGCUCUGAUUCUCCUCCCAGCUGCCCCUAAUGAGCUUUAUGGCCGUGUCCCUGUCCCGGCUGUGCCCUGUCCCGGCUUUGUCCCUGUCCCAGCCGUGUCCCUGAUCCCGGCCGUGUCCCUGUCCCGGCUGUGUCCCUCUCCCAGCUGUGUCCCUAUUCCUGCUGGGUCCCUAUCCCGGCCGUGUCCCUGUCCCGGCUGUGUCCCUGUCCCGGCUGUGUCCCUAUUCCUACUGGGUCCCUAUCCCGGCCGUGUCCUUAUCCCGGCUGUGUCCCCCCGUCCCGGCUGUGUCGCUGUCUCGGCUGUGCCCUAUCCCGGCCGUGUCCCCCUAUCCCGGCCGUGUCCCUGUCCCGGCUGUGUCCCUGUCCCGGCCGUGUCCCUGUCCCGGCUGUGUCCCUGUCCCGGCUGUGUCCCUGUUCCUGCUGGGUCCCUAACCCGGCCGUGUCCCUAUCCCGGCUGUGUCCCUGUCCCGGCUGUGUCCCUUUCUCGGCUGUGUCCCUAUUCCUGCUGUGCCCUGUCCCAGCUGUGCCCUGUCCCGGCCGUGUCCCUGUCCCGGCUGUGGGGGGGGGGGGGGGGGGGGGGGGGGGGGGGGGGGGGGGGGGGGGGGGGGGGGGGGGGGGGGGGGGGG